UACGUAGGGGGCAAGCGUUGUCCGGAAUCAUUGGGCGUAAAGAGCGUGUAGGCAGCCCGGUAAGUCCGCUGUAAAAGUCAAAGGCUCAACCUUUGAAUGUCAGUGGAUACUGCCGGGCUAGAGUCCGGAAGAGGCGAGUGGAACUCCUGGUGUAGCGGUGGAAUGCGCAGAUAUCAGGAAGAACACCAACGGCGAAGGCAGCUCGCUGGGACGGUACUGACGCUGAGACGCGAAAGCGUGGGGAGCGAACAGG
rnacentral:rRNA from 1 species